CUUAUUUUUUAAUUAUUAAAAAAAUAUUUUAUUUAUUUUUAAAUAUUUAAUUUAAAUUUUUCAUAUGUCAUAUUUAAAAUUAUAAGAUUAAAGGACAUCCAUUUAAUAUGUUAUAUAUAUAUUACUCUUACUCCUCUUAUAUUAGAAAAGACUUGUUUCAACAUGCCUGCUUCACUGCUCUCAAGAGUACUUUUGUCUUUUUAGUUCUUAUUGUGACGUGUCUUCUCUAUCCUCUGCCCAUCAACUUCACCAUUCUUCAUGUAUGAUUUUUACAUGUUUCAAUGGAGUUUUUUUUGUGUCAUCUUCCUGUUCGUCUAAAUCGAAGUUCAAAAUUUGAUCUAGAUGUGUAAAUAUUUACUUAUUAUUUCAUUUGGGUUUGUUAGUGAUGUUGGAUUAUCUUUUGAUUGGGUGAUAAUGCUUUGCCUGUUCUAUUUUGAAUUGUUGAAAAACUGUAUCCUCGAUGUUCAAACACAAUUUUCAUAUCUCAAAAUCAACACUUCAUCAACUCAAAUUCUAAAUCUACAGCCUAAGAGGAGCUAAUGUACCCAACAGUCAAAGUUGUAAAAGAAACUGAUAUCAACAUGAAAAGUAUCAAAUAAAGCGAAGUCUAAAAUAAAAGUUUGGUUCUUUUUACAUACCUCUUUGGUGGAGCUAUGAUGGUGACUCUUUGGCUUCUUGAUUCCAUUUUUGUGAGCCUUGUAGUUGUUGGACUGAUUGUUUGCGGUAUGAUUCUUUGACUUGGCCAUUUGGUCUUUUAUCUCACAAUCGAACUUCAGAGAGAUAAAAAAGAGCAGAAAUCCAACAGAAUUUAGCACCCAAAUCACAGUUUUCAGCCAUGACAGAAAGAUUGAAUAUCAAUAAAUCGACAUGAGCACAGAAUAAUGGACUUGUAAAGUCCAAGUGAUAGAUAAAGGCCAUCCUCGAAUCAACAGUGAAGAAAACAAGAAAUAUUAAUUGAUGAUAUUACAAGAUGAAGAGAUACUUUCUGUCUGACGCUGAGUAACACCGAAAAACAGUUAAAAUGGCAGCAUUAUGUAAACACUGUAAAAUGUAGAUGUCCAAUAUAUAUAUAUAUAUAUAUAUAUAUAUAUAUAUAUAUAUUAUGCGCUUGAGUCUCCAUGUUAACAAAUCUACCAUUGAAUUUUAUCUAAUUUUUAUAGUUGGGUCACAUCUUACUACAUGAUAUACUAUAGCCCCGGUAAAGUGAUGGUUAGACGAAUAUCAUUCAUUGAAAAAUUAAGUUUAAUAUCUUUAAUGAAAUUAUUGAAUUUACUAUUUGUAUACAUGUAAUAAUAACUAGACGUGUUGCAUGUAUUUUAUUACGAGAAAGCAAUUUCUCUUGAUCAAUUUAUUCAAAUUGAAUAAAAGAAAA